CAUAAAGAGUUAAACUGUUCCUUAUGAAUUUGUAGAAAUGAUGCGAAAAUAAGACAUUAUGGGCACAGAUAGAACAAAUCUUGAUUAUAAGUAUAUUUGUUAUGGGGGUAUAUUUUUCUACUCGUGUGAUGUUUAUUUGAAAGACUGUAGAUUAUAAAUAAAUCACACCUUGGUCUGCGGAAGAAAAAAUAUAUAAUGCGUCACAAUGUACUUGAAAAGGUACAAUAUUUCCUGUUCUGUCUUUCUUCUACCACAGGGAACAGACAUCCGCUUACCUUAAAGUUCGUGAUCCUUUGAGAACUUAAUGAAUACAGCAGUGCUGAGGCAGAGGGCUUGUAGUGAGGACGACUGGAUACUAUUCUGAACUCUGUGUGGUGAGCUUUUUGGUGCCCAGAGCUGCAUCAACCAAGUGGAGGCAACACAGAGUGGAAGCCCAGUGGUUAUAAGUCUCAGGCUGGUUCCCAGACUUGCCCAUAUCUACAAGAUCAUCAGCAGACUCCAUCAAUAUCAUCUACCAUCCUCUGACCAGCUCCCUUCACUCAAGCCAUGAACUGACCCUCUCCAUCUUCAGAGGAUGCAGCAUUAAAAGACAUGGCCUCUCUUGGUUGACCUGUCAUAAUACUGUACAUUGCUUGUUUGUUUUUUGCUCUUGAACCGCUUUGAGAUUAUUUGAAAAACUCUUCUUAUUCUUUUUUUUUCUUCUUCGUCUGUGGAUUUUAUACGGCUGUUGGCAACCAACUUAAGGUGCAUUACCGCCACCAACUGGACUGGAGUGUGAACCAGAGACAGUGAAGGUCUAAAUCCUACCCAAUAAUCUAAUCUCCCUAAGGAAACAAAAUACAUAAUUAAAUACUACAUCCCCUGAAGAUUUCCCCAGCAGUUCACUUAAUCCUGGCUCUUCAACCCCAUUACUCCACAAAUCUAAUAAAAUGUGCUCCCUUUCUCACAUAUUUCUGGCACUGAAAUGGAACAUGUUCCACUGUGUUCAUCUUCUCCUGACAAUGAUCACACCUCCCAGUCAGAUGUUUCCCCACCACUUUCAAUGUACUAUUUAGCCUUGUACGUCCCAGUCUCAGCCUUGUGACUACACUUUCCUCACUUCUCUCUCGGCCUGAGGACCUCUCUGCCCCCACCUUUUCCUGGAUCUUAUACAGGUGUCUUCCCUUACACACCCUGUUACACAACUCUUGCCACUUAUUUUUAACCAUCAGAUCAUCUGAUAUCAUCCCCUAUGUCACAGGGAACAGCACUAGCUGUAGCACUUAACAGAGUUUGGUCUUGUUGCUCUUUGGUCCUUUCAAAAUAGAAACUCUGUAGAACAUUGACUACAAUAUUGUCUGUGAGUUGGCUAAUGUUGUUGAGCCUAUAUAGUUGAAUCUUAAAUGAAAAUAAAAUGUUCACACUACAAGAUUAUCACCAUGUGAUAUAGUGUGAAUGCGACCAA